rnacentral:rRNA from 1 species
GGCCAGACUCCUACGGGAGGCAGCAGUGGGGAAUAUUGGGCAAUGGCCGCAAGUCUGACCCAGCGACGCCGCGUGAGGGAAGACGGUCUUCGGAUUGUAAACCUCUUUCUUUGGGGACGAAAAAGGACGGUACCCAAGGAGGAAGCUCCGGCUAACUACGUGCCAGCAGCCGCGGUAAUACGUAGGGAGCGAGCGUUGUCCGGAAUUACUGGGUGUAAAGGGAGCGUAGGCGGGAUUGCAAGUUGGAUGUGAAAACUGCGGGCUCAACCCGGAGCGUGCAUUCAAAACUGCGAUUCUUGAGUGAAGUAGAGGCAAGCGGAAUUCCUAGUGUAGCGGUGAAAUGCGUAGAUAUCAGGAGGAACAUCGGUGGCGAAAGCGCUUUACUGGGCCAUUAUUGACGCUGAGGAACGAAAGCCAGGGGAGCAAAUGGGAUUAGAUACCCUCGUA